rnacentral:tRNA from 1 species
GUCCCCAUCGUCUAGCGGCCAAGGACCCCGUCUUUUUCGAGGCGGUAACAGAGGUUCAAAUCCUUUUGGGGACGCCA